UGGGGAAUCUUGCACAAUGGGGGCAACCCUGAUGCAGCGACGCCGCGUGAGCGAUGAAGGUUUUCGAAUCGUAAAGCUCUGUCCUAUGGGAAGAUAAUGACGGUACCAUAGGAGGAAGCCCCGGCUAACUACGUGCCAGCAGCCGCGGUAAUACGUAGGGGGCGAGCGUUGUCCGGAAUUACUGGGCGUAAAGGGUUCGCAGGCGGCAUGGCAAGUCCGAUGUAAAAGGCGAAGGCUCAACCCUCGUAAGCAUCGGAAACUGUCAAGCUUGAGUGAAGGAGAGGCAAGUGGAAUUCCUAGUGUAGCGGUGGAAUGCGUAGAUAUUAGGAGGAAUACCGGUGGCGAAGGCGACUUGCUGGACUUCAACUGACGCUGAGGAGCGAAAGCGUGGGUAGCAAACAGG
rnacentral:rRNA from 1 species